rnacentral:rRNA from 1 species
AGAUUAGGAAGAACACCAGUGGCGAAGGCGGCUUUCUGGACUGUAACUGACGCUGAGGCACGAAAGCGUGGGUAGCAAACAGGAUUAGAUACCCUGGUAGUCCACGCCGUAAACGAUGGAUACUAGGUGUAGGGGGUAUCAACUCCCCCUGUGCCGCAGUUAACACAAUAAGUAUCCCGCCUGGGGAGUACGGUCGCAAGAUUAAAACUCAAAGGAAUUGACGGGGGCCCGCACAAGCAGCGGAGCAUGUGGUUUAAUUCGAAGCAACGCGAAGAACCUUACCUGGACUUGACAUCCCUUGCAUAGCCUAGAGAUAGGUGAAGCCCUUCGGGGCAAGGAGACAGGUGGUGCAUGGUUGUCGUCAGCUCGUGUCGUGAGAUGUUAGGUUAAGUCCUGCAACGAGCGCAACCCUUGUUAUUAGUUGCUACCAUUAAGUUGAGCACUCUAAUGAGACUGCCUGGGUAACCAGGAGGAAGGUGGGGAUGACGUCAAAUCAUCAUGCCCCUUAUGUCCAGGGCUACACACGUGCUACAAUGGUAGGUACAAUAAGACGCAAGACCGUGAGGUGGAGCAAAACUUAUAAAACCUAUCUCAGUUCGGAUUGUAGGCUGCAACUCGCCUACAUGAAGCUGGAGUUGCUAGUAAUCGCGAAUCAGAAUGUCGCGGUGAAUACGUUCCCGGGCCUUGUACACACCGCCCGUCACACCAUGAGAGCUGGUAACACCCGAAGUCCGUGAGGUAACCGUAAGGAGCCAGCGGCCGAAGGUGGGAUUAGUGAUUGGGGUGAAGUCGUAACAAGGUAGCCGUAGGAGAACCUGCGGCUG